rnacentral:rRNA from 1 species
AGAGUUUGAUCCUGGCUCAGAUUGAACGCUGGCGGCAUGCUUUACACAUGCAAGUCGAACGGCAGCGCGGGCUUCGGCCUGGCGGCGAGUGGCGAACGGGUGAGUAAUACAUCGGAACGUGCCCAGUAGUGGGGGAUAGCUCGGCGAAAGCCGGAUUAAUACCGCAUACGACCUGAGGGUGAAAGCGGGGGAUCUUCGGACCUCGCGCUAUUGGAGCGGCCGAUGGCAGAUUAGCUAGUUGGUGGGGUAAAGGCCUACCAAGGCGACGAUCUGUAGCUGGUCUGAGAGGACGACCAGCCACACUGGGACUGAGACACGGCCCAGACUCCUACGGGAGGCAGCAGUGGGGAAUUUUAGACAAUGGGCGAAAGCCUGAUCCAGCAAUGCCGCGUGUGUGAUGAAGGCCUUCGGGUUGUAAAGCACUUUUGGCGGGAACGAAAAGGACUGUGCCAAUACCACGGUUCGAUGACGGUACCCGCAGAAUAAGCACCGGCUAACUACGUGCCAGCAGCCGCGGUAAUACGUAGGGUGCAAGCGUUAAUCGGAAUUACUGGGCGUAAAGAGUGCGCAGGCGGUUUUGCAAGACCGAUGUGAAAUCCCCGGGCUUAACCUGGGAACUGCAUUGGUGACUGCAAGGCUAGAGUGUGUCAGAGGGAGGUGGAAUUCCGCAUGUAGCAGUGAAAUGCGUAGAUAUGCGGAGGAACACCGAUGGCGAANGCAGCCUCCUGGGAUAACACUGACGCUCAUGCACGAAAGCGUGGGGAGCAAACAGGACUAGAUACCCUGGUAGUUCACGCCCUAAACGAUGUCUACUAGUUGUCGGGGAUUAAUUCCCUUGGUAACGCAGCUAACGCGUGAAGUAGACCGCCUGGGGAGUACGGUCGCAAGAU